CGGGUGGCUUGCUGCACGCUUGUUUCGGCUGUGCAGGCUUGAAUGGUUCUUUUCGUCCUGCUUGCGUGCUGUGAAGGGACCUCAAGCAAACUCCGAAGUUGAGACAUGGCUACAAUUGGGAAGACCAUCAUAUUGAAGAACAUUGUCAAAAUUCUAGAAGACAUGAAAGUCUUGCAAUCUGUUCAUUUAGUGCUUUGAUUUCUGCUGUGAGUGACUCCAGCUUGGACUCAUCUACCUUGUACAAGUCCUCUGCAGACAAAGCCCAAUCACCUCAUCAGAAUCGACUCACAACGCUCUCCAGGUUUUCAGCAGCUUGUUCCCUCACUUCCCCAAACCAUGGAUGUGGCAGAUGCUGCCUUGUGUACUGGCCAGCUUCCUUUUUCUCCUGGAAUGUCCCGUUGCUCUUAGCCUGCUUAAGCUUUCUUCCACUGUACCUGUUGCUGUUUGCCUAUAGUUCCUCACUGAAUUUCCAUUCCUUUCUACCUAACAGAAUAUGAGUUCCUGAGGCCAAGGUUUUCUGUUCUUCAUUACUCUAUGUUUGGUGCCUGACACUUGGGUACAUAAUAUUUAUUUGAGUAGAUUCAUUUAUGUGUUUAAUUAUAUAUACACAUAUCAAGUAAUUCAUAAAUUAUGUCCACAUUAGAACAAAAUGAAUUUUCCUUUGUGUGUGUUAUGUACACUUAUGUGUCACGAGUCUGCAUGUGUGCACAUAGAAGCCAAUGGUUGAGGUUGUGUAUCUUCUCCAGUCAUUAUCAUCUUGUGACUUUAGAUAAAUCUCUCUGCAAACCUAGAGGUCCCUGAUGUGGUCAGAUUGGCUGGUCCACAAGCUCUAGGGAUCUAUCUCAAGCACCUACCUCCCUAGUGCUGAGAUUAUGGACACGUGCUGCACUUGUGCUUUUAUGUGUGUGGGAUCCAGACUCAGGAUCCAUGCUUGCUGAGGAUAUACUUCACUGACUGAACCGUGUCUCUAGCCCUGACUUUUGCCUUCCUAAAUCAAUCCAUCUACUCCUUGGGCUCUCCUUGUCACCCUUUAGGAUGACACAAUCCUGAAAAUUCUAAGGGAAUGCUUCCCGUUUCCCUCUCACCUUGGGUGUCACAUGGGUGUCAAGGUGACUUUCCCAUAUCACUGCAUAACACUGAAUGGAAAGUAAUUUACAGGGCUGAAGACAUGGAUGGCUUAGUGGUUAAGAGCACUGACUAAUCUUCCGAAGAUCCUAAGUUCAAAUCCCAGCAACCACAUGUUGGCUCACAACCACUCGUAAUGAGAUCUGAUGCCCUCUUCUUGGGUGUCUGAAGACAGCUACAGUGUACUUACAUAUAAUAAAUAAAUCCUUAAAAAAAAGAAACGAAAAGAAAUGAAACUUACCUGGAAACUCCAUGGCCUGCUUACUCCCUCCCAGUUUCAAUAGAGAGACUUUACAUACUUUCCCUAAGGAGUGCUGUAACUUCUAACAUAUUAAAGCAUGGACAAAUAUCUUUUGUGUUCCCAACAAAGAACAUUUCUUAUUUUAUUUUGUGUCUUUUGAGACAGGCUUUCUCUAUGUAGUCCUGGCUGUUCUCAAACUCACUUUGAAAACCAGGGUGAAUUUGACCUCAGCAGUCGUGUUCCUUUGUAUCUUGAGUACUGGCAUUAAAGUCAUGUGCCAUC
rnacentral:lncRNA from 1 species